AGCAAUCCAUGAGUAAAGUGGCGUACGGGUGAGUAACACGUGGGUAAUCUACCUUUUGGUGGGGAAUAACCCUGGGAAACCGGGGCUAAUACCGCAUAAUCUCGCGAGAGGAAAGGAGCAAUUCGCCGAAAGAGGAGCCCGCGGCUGAUUAGCUAGUUGGUGAGGUAAUGGCUCACCAAGGCAUUGAUCGGUAGCCGGCCUGAGAGGGCACACGGCCACACUGGCACUGAAACACGGGCCAGACUCCUACGGGAGGCAGCAGUGGGGAAUCUUGCACAAUGGGGGCAACCCUGAUGCAGCGACGCCGCGUGAGUGAUGAAGCCCUUCGGGGUGUAAAGCUCUUUCGGCAGGGACGAUAAUGACGGUACCUGAAGAAGAAGCUGCGGCUAACUACGUGCCAGCAGCCGCGGUAAUACGUAGGCAGCGAGCGUUG
rnacentral:rRNA from 1 species